rnacentral:rRNA from 1 species
UCCGGUUGAUUCUGCCGGCCCCCGGCGUUAGGAGUUUGAGAUUUAGGCAUGCUACGACGGGUCAGCCGAUUUCGGUCGGUUGAUUCCUCGGAACCGCUGAGUAACACGUACUCAACGGACCCUAUAGCGGGAAAUAAGCCCGGGAAACUGGGUGUAAGAUCCCAUAGGUCGAUAGAGCUGGAACGCCUAUCGAUUCAACUGUAGGACCGGAGUGCGCCCGAUUAGGUUGUAGGUGAGGUAAUGGCUCACCUAGCCGAUUAUCGGUAGGGGCAGUGGAGCUGGAGCCUCCAGAACGAGACUGAGACACCUCUCGUAGCCCUACGGGGUGCAGCAGCCGCGAAACGUAAACACUGCAUCACGUGCGAUUUCGUCAGACUCCGUGCAAUUGCAAAAGCACAAUCCAAAUAGUUGUGCAGUAAGUUGUGGGCAAUAAAGGUGCCAGCCGCCGCGGUAAGACCUUAGCAGCGAAUGCCGGGGGGCUUUACUGCCCUUAAAACAUGUGUAGCCGGGUCAUGCUGUCGGCUCGUUAAAGGCGGAUUGAUAAUGAUCCGUAGUGCGAGUCGCAACGGUGACCUUGGGGGCGGGAGAAGCAGGGGGUAUACCCGGAGUAGCGGUGAAAUGUGUUGAUCCUGGGUAGACCAUCGAUGGCGAAGGCACCCUGCCAGAACGCGCCCGACGGUGAUACAUGAAAGCCAGGGGAGCGACACGGAUUAGAUACCCGUUUAGUCCUGGCUGUAAACGAUGCCGGCUCGGUGUUGCCCUAGACACGAUCUGUGGCAGUGCCGCAGCGAAAGCGAUAAGCCGGCUGGGUGGGAAGUACAGUCGCAAGGCCGAAACUUAAAGAAAUUGACGGGGAUUCACCACAAGGCGUGGAGGUUGCGGUUUAAUUAGACCCAACGCUCGACACCUUACCCGGAUAGCCAAUGUUCAUGACCGCCAGACUGAUGAUCUUACGCGACGGCAUUGGCAGCUGGUGCAUGGCCAGGAGCAGCUCGUACCUUGAGGCGUCUGCUCAAGUGCAGGAACGAGCGAGAUUCGCGCUGAUACUUGCUAACUGCUUCAUAGUAAGUGGUGCACAGUAUCGGGAUUGCCGUCGCCGAGACGGCUGAAAGUGUGGGUUAGCCUAGGUCCGUAUGCCGCUGAUAUCCGGGGCUACACGCGACCUACAAUGGAGGCUACAAUGGGAUGCAACCCCGAAAGGGGAAGCCAAUCUCCAAAAGCCUUCUUAGUUGGAACUGAGGGUUGUAACUCACCCUCACGAACUUGGAAUGCCUAGUACGUCCGUGUCAUGAUCGCGGGCGGAAUAUGUCCCUGAAUCUUGUACACACUGCCCGUCGCUCCAUGGGAAUCGCAUCGAUUUGAGGGCCGAUC